UCGUGGCAGGUGUGUAAGUCGCUCUGGAUAAGAGCGUCUGCUAAAUGACGUAAA
rfam:Salmo salar isolate Sally breed double haploid chromosome ssa16, whole genome shotgun sequence.